GUCCACGCUGUAAACGAUGACGACUAGGUGUGGGGUGGUUCAGUCCAUUCCGUGCCGCAGCUAACGCAUUAAGUCGUCCGCCUGGGGAGUACGGCCGCAAGGUUGAAACUCAAAGGAAUUGACGGGGGCCCGCACAAGCGGUGGAGCAUGUGGUUCAAUUCGAUGCAGAGCGAAGAACCUUACCUGGGCUUGACAUGUAGGAAGUAGAAACCCGAAAGGGGGACGACCCGUUAAGUCGGGAACCUGCACAGGUGGUGCAUGGCUGUCGU
rnacentral:rRNA from 1 species